AUAAUGGCAGGCAGGAGAAAGACCUGUACUUUUACGGAGGCAUUCGCUAUCAUUACUAACGACAGUGGGGCUACUGUAGUCCCUGUCGAGUCGUCGCCUGACGACAGUGACUUGCUGUUGCCAGAACUGGACACGGACAACGGUGAUUCAGAAGUUCGAAUUCCAUCACCUGAAAGUGAUGAUGAUGCUGAUUAUGAGCCACCUUCAUCGACUGCUCCUGCUCCAGCGUCAGCCCCCCCACCUCUGUUUAUGUGUGUGUGUGUGUGUGUGUGUGUGUGUGUGUGUGUGUGUGUGUGUGUGUGUGUGUGUGUGUGUGUGUGUGUGUGUGUGUGUGUGUGUGUGUGUGUGUGUGUGUGUGUGUGUGUGUGUGUGUGUAAAUAUCCCUAGUGGUUGUAGUUUUUAGCUGUUUUUAGCUUCUUGCCUUUGUUUUUACAGUUUGGUUAUAUUAUAUGUUGUUCUCAAAUAUAUCUGCUCCAGUUGGAGUCAAACUU